rnacentral:rRNA from 1 species
GGGUGGUAAAUUUCAUCUAAAGCUAAAUAUUGGCCGGAGACCGAUAGCGCACAAGUAGAGUGAUCGAAAGGUUAAAAGCACCUUGAAAAGGGAGUUAAACAGCACGUGAAAUUGUUGAAAGGGAAGCGUUUGCGGCCAGACUCGGGCGUGAGGUUCAGCGGGUGCGUGUCACCCGUGCACUCCUCGCCGCCCGGGCCAGCAUCAGUUCUAACGGCCGGUCAAAGGCCCCCGGAAUGUGUCGUCUCUAGGGACGUCUUAUAGCCGGGGGUGCAAUGCGGCCCGUCGGGACUGAGGAACGCGCUUCGGCUCGGAUGCUGGCAUAAUGGCCGUAAACGGCCCGUCUUGAAACACGGAC